AAUAAAAUUAUUUAUGGUUUAAAAAUUUAUUAUAAAUUUAUUUUACAUAUAAAUUUUAGUGUUAAUUUUUAAUUUAUUUAAAUAAUAAUUAAUAUUUAUUUGUAGUAAUUAAAAUUAAAAAUUUAAGUAAUUAAGAUUUAGUAAUAUUUAAAUUAAUAACAAAUUUUGUGCCAGCAGUUGCGGUUAUACAAAAAUUAAAUUAAAUUUUUUUAGGGAUUAAUUAAUAAUAGAUUAUAUAAUAAAAUUAAAAUUUAAAUUAUUAAGUGAAAUUUUAAUUUAUGAAAAUUUUAUAUUGAAUUAUGAAUUAAAAAAUUUUAUUAAAAACUAGGAUUAGAUACCCUAUUAUUAAAAAUUUAAAUUAAUAAUACUAAAAUAGUAUAUAAUUAUUUAUAAAAACUUAAAUAAUUUGGCGGUAUUUUAGUUUAUUUAGAGGAAUCUGUUUAUUAAUUGAUAUUCCACGAAUAAAUUUACUUAAUUUAUUUAAUUUUGUAUAUCGUUGUUAAAAAAAUAUUUUAAAAUAAUAAUAAUAUUUUAAUUUUUAUAUUAAAAGUUAAAUCAGAUCAAGAUGCAGAUUAUAAUUAAGAAUAUAAUGGAUUACAAUAAAUUUAUUUAAUUGGAUGUUAUUUUUAAAAAUUAAUUGAAAUUGGAUUUAAAUGUAAUUUUAUUUAAUUUAUUAAAAUGAUUUUAAUUUAGAAUAUGUACAUAUUGCCCGUCGCUUUCAUUAAUAAAUUGAAAUAAGUCGUAACAAAGUAGAGGUACUGGAAAGUGUUUCUAGAAAGAGUA
rnacentral:ncRNA from 1 species